GUAAACUACUGCCACUGCCACCCUUCUGGCUUCUCUGGUUCCAUCAAGAACUGGGAGGAGAGAGAUAAAAGAAAGAAAGAGACACUUUUUGAAGAGAGAGAGAGAGAGAGAGAGAGAGAGAAACCCAUUUCACUUUCCCCUUCUUUGAGCUACAUACGUGACUCAAAAAGCCCGAGUCUUUAGGGUUUUUUUUGCUGUUUGUUCAUCAUUAUAGAUUCUUUGAGCUUUUGAGAACUCAUCAAUGGUGGACUUCCCAGAAUCAAGGUAGGUAGAUUGCAAUCUAUAAUAUAUAUAUAUAUAUAUAUAUUCUAUGCCAGCGGUCAUCUUGUUAUUGCUCAAUCAGUGACUUAGCUUUCAUACUGACACUAUAUAGAAUGGUACUUAUAGCGCCAGAAGGGUAAUUUUCUACUACCCUCUUGUUGAGCAACUAUUUAUUUCUAAUCAAAGUGAAAAAAGCCGGUGGCUUUUGGGUUUUUGGGAUUAAAUGAAGUAAAAUAAAUGCUUGGUUUUAGCUCUGCUAGCUCCUGUAGGAGUUGGUUUCGUAUUUGAUCUUACGGAGGGGAGAUAGAGAGAGCGCAACAUGGUGUUUUGGAGCUUAUGUGUUUGAUCUGUGGAAUGACAGAAAGCAAAGAUUUUGGGUGGUUUUCUGGGCACAGCCAUUUAAAAAUGGCUUGGAUUCAGCAUCAAGUCCAGCAAAUAGAUGGUUCAUGGAGUUAUUCACCUCCUAUUUCUCCUCCUCCUCCUUCGGUCCCUUAUACUGCUACUUUUCAUAAAGAAUCAACCCCAUCUUCAUCGUCAUCACCAUCAUCCUCUGGCACGAGAAUAAGUCCUGCAGUUCUUUUCAUUAUUGUGAUUCUAGCUGUACUGUUUUUCAUCUCUGGUCUGCUCCACCUGCUUGUUAGAUUUCUUAUAAAGCAUCCAUCUUCUUCAGCUUCUUCCCAGUCCAAUAGAUACCCAGAGAUUUCUACGUCUGAUGCUCUCCAGAGACAGCUACAGCAGCUCUUCCAUCUCCAUGAUUCUGGUCUGGAUCAAGCUUUUAUAGAUGCUCUUCCUGUUUUCCAGUACGAAGAGAUAGUAGGUCCAAAAGAGCCGUUUGAUUGUGCUGUUUGUUUGUGUGAAUUUUCAGACAAGGACAAGCUCAGGUUGCUUCCUAUGUGCAGCCAUGCUUUCCAUUUGAAUUGUAUAGACACUUGGCUCCUAUCAAAUUCAACAUGUCCCCUUUGUAGGGGAACCCUUUUCACUCCUGAGUAUUCCAUUGAAAACCCAAUUUUCGAUUUCGAUGAUUUGAGAGAAGAAGAUGGGCGUCUUGGUCAUGGAGAAAUCGGCUUCACUCCUAGUCAAAAAACCGUGGAAGCUGAAGAAAUUGUUGUUGAAAAGGGGGUUUUGCCUGUGAGACUUGGUAAAUUCAGAAGGGUGGAUGGUCAGGCAGCAGGGGAAUCUGGAGGAGGAGAGACUAGUAGCAGUAAUUUGGAUGCUAGAAGAUGUUACUCAAUGGGUUCGUACCAGUAUGUGCUAGUCGAUUCGGAUCUCCGGGUUGCCUUGUGUAAUGAUGGAAAAGGAAGAGAUUUAAAGCUUGACAAAGGGUCUGAGCAAAUUGGUAAAUCUUCAGCUGAUGGUGAUUUGGAGGGAAAGAAGAUUAACAGUGUGAGUAAAGGUGAGAGUUAUUCAGUUUCCAAGAUCUGGCUCUGGUCUAAGAAGGGCAGGUAUUCAAGCUCUACUGAUACGCAGAUGGAUAUGCCUUCUUCUCUUAACAUGGACUUGCCAUGGAUGGGAAGAAAAACACAAGGGGAAUGAGAUGUUGGUAUUCUUUAUUGUUUGUUUUCAUGGUUGCAUAUUAAUCCAUCGAUCAGAACCGGCCACGCCUUUGGAGGUUUAUGUUUUCUACAAAAUAUGAUGUUGUGGACUUUUAAUCAUAUAAGAGGAGAAGAUCGUUGGAACAGCUACACCGAUAGUUGGUGGGAUCAGCUGCCUGUCCCUAUUGAUGGACGGUGGGGGACGGCAUGUGGGACACUCUGUAAUAUCAGAGGACCUUAAUGCACAGAUAAAUUAUCAAUGGUAGACGCAUAUAUAUAUAUAUAUAUAUAUAUAUAUAUUGUUUUUUGCUGAAUCGGUAGACAUAAAUUUAGGGGCCUACAAAAGGGCUCUUCAUCUUCCACAUGUUCCUUAACUGAAUUUUUUGUGAAAUUUACUGAUUGAACCUGGGUUGGCAAUUUUAGUUUUAUCUCAACCAUCAAACAAUGCUAGUGAAGACAAACAAUUCAGUAAUAAUUUCUAUUUUAAAGCGCAA